rnacentral:tRNA from 1 species
AAGAAGUUAGUUUAAUAAAAACAUAAACUCGUCAAGUUUUUAAUACUAAAAAAUAAUUAGUACCUCUUU